AUCCCGCGGCGUAUUAGUUAGUUGGUGAGGUAAAGGCCCACCAAGACGAUUAUACGUAGCCGACCUGAGAGGGUAAUCGGCCACAUUGGGACUGAGACACGGCCCAAACUCCUACGGGAGGCAGCAGUAGGGAAUCUUCCACAAUGGACGAAAGUCUGAUGGAGCAAUGCCGCGUGAGUGAAGAAGGGUUUCGGCUUGUAAAACUCUGUUGUUAAAGAAGAACACCUUUGAGAGUAACUGUUCAAGGGUUGACGGUAUUUAACCAGAAAGCCACGGCUAACUACGUGCCAGCAGCCGCGGUAAUACGUAGGUGGCAAGCGUUGUCCGGAUUUAUUGGGCGUAAAGCGAGCGCAGGCGGUUUUUUAAGUCUGAUGUGAAAGCCUUCGGCUUAACCGGAGAAGUGCAUCGGAAACUGGGAGACUUGAGUGCAGAAGAGGACAGUGGAACUCCAUGUGUAGCGGUGGAAUGCGUAGAUAUAUGGAAGAACACCAGUGGCGAAGGCGGCUGUCUAGUCUGUAACUGACGCUGAGGCUCGAAAGCAUGGGUAGCGAACAGGAUUAGAUACCCUGGUAGUCCAUGCCGUAAACGAUGAGUGCUAAGUGUUGGAGGGUUUCCGCCCUUCAGUGCUGCAGCUAACGCAUUAAGCACUCCGCCUGGGGAGUACGACCGCAAGGUUGAAACUCAAAGGAAUUGACGGGGGCCCGCACAAGCGGUGGAGCAUGUGGUUUAAUUCGAAGCUACGCGAAGAACCUUACCAGGUCUUGACAUCUUCUGCCAAUCUUAGAGAUAAGACGUUCCCUUCGGGGACAGAAUGACAGGUGGUGCAUGGUUGUCGUCAGCUCGUGUCGUGAGAUGUUGGGUUAAGUCCCGCAACGAGCGCAACCCUUAUUAUCAGUUGCCAGCAUUCAGUUGGGCACUCUGGUGAGACUGCCGGUGACAAACCGGAGGAAGGUGGGGAUGACGUCAAAUCAUCAUGCCCCUUAUGACCUGGGCUACACACGUGCUACAAUGGACGGUACAACGAGUCGCGAAGUCGUGAGGCUAAGCUAAUCUCUUAAAGCCGUUCUCAGUUCGGAUUGUAGGCUGCAACUCGCCUACAUGAAGUUGGAAUCGCUAGUAAUCGCGGAUCAGCAUGCCGCGGUGAAUACGUUCCCGG
rnacentral:rRNA from 1 species